CGGAAACCUCAACAGAAUAACUCAAUGCAAUGCAAUAUUACAAAACAACUUAACUUAUAAAAUAUGGCCAUAAAGGCAACUCGAAUCUCAAAAUAGAAUAUUUACAUAUAUAUAUAGAUGAGAGACUCAAAAUUAACUGACUGACUGUCUGUCUAUGAAGCCUCUAAAAUACUGAGAUGGAUGUUGGGACAGACCCCGCAACAUCCUAAUAAAACAAAAACUAAGAACACAAAAUAAUUGAGUCCUCCGGAAUGCAAGGAGGCUCACCACUGACUCUGGAGUGCUCAGCUGGAUCAACGACGUGCAGN
rnacentral:lncRNA from 1 species